rnacentral:rRNA from 1 species
GAUGAACGCUAGCGGCAGGCUUAAUACAUGCAAGUCGAGGGGUAACAGGGGAGCUUGCUUCUGCUGACGACCGGCGCACGGGUGCGUAACGCGUAUGCAACUUACCUUAUACAGGGGGAUAGCCCGAAGAAAUUCGGAUUAAUACCCCAUGGUAUUAUAUUAUUGCAUGAUGAUAUAAUUAAAGAUUUAUUGGUAUAAGAUAGGCAUGCGUCUGAUUAGAUAGUUGGUGAGGUAAUGGCUCACCAAGUCCACGAUCAGUAGGGGUUCUGAGAGGAAGAUCCCCCACACUGGCACUGAGAUACGGGCCAG